CAUGGGUUUAAAGGGUGAGCUGAGAACCUGGACAGCUUUUUCUGAGUUUGUGAUUACUAGGCAAGAAAAGUAGAUGCAUUUGGAGAUUAUGAAGACAAAUGAAGAAGGGAAACUAGAAUACCAAAAUUAUUUCCUAUGGGCAGAAGAGGCAAAGACCUCUAAACUGAGUACCUGAGAGUUUUUCCUAAGAACACGCAUAAGAUAAUAGAAGUUUUCUAUUUUAGAAAAUACUCUUCUGCUUUAAAGUCUACAUCAGAAAAUAGUGAUGUGGCACAUUCCAUGUGGUAAUUGUAAUUUAUUAAGACCUUUUUGUGUGAAGCAUUUUACAUAGUUUGUCUUAUUUAAUCCUCAAAACAGCACUGAGGCAGCCUACUCUGGCUGAAUGGCUAUCUCUCCAUCCCAUAGACACAGACCCUGAAGCUCAGAACCAUUAGAUCACA